GGUACAUCAGAGACUAAUCGCAUCAUCAUAAAGCAGCCCUUUAUCAUGUCUCAGGUACCCGCCCAGCACACUUACCACCAGUAGAUUGGAUUGGUGACACAGCUCUGUCCGCAGCCGAGACUUCGUGUCCUAGGACGCAGGGCAGCCCAUCAGAGGGAGACCCAGGGAGGCACAGGACGCCCUCUUACCCAAACUGAGGUCCCCAAGACCGGCCUUCCACCUACCGGAGGUGAUCUGUGCUCGGAUCCGGAUGCCCUGACUUGGGGAAGCAGAUAUAGAUCGAUAGAUCAUCUUCGGGGAAGUUUGCACAAGGAUCCUGAUACCACCACAUUUUGCCAAAUCUUGUUUCCCAUGAGAAAGGGAAAAGAUCAUUCAUUUAAAGGUGGAUCUUGUUUCCAGGUUCAAUUUAAAUGUGAAAAAGGCUUCUUCGGAGAGAACCAGCAGAUCAAUCCACAGACCAGCCCUCCAGCCCACUGUCAUGCUGGAACAGGCAGGCCCUUCCAAGGAGCACAAAUUGCUGUACUGUUGUCACUACAGAGCCACUCUGCUAGAUUUCUGAGGAGUUAUAAAGGACACACAAAAAAACCUCUGAGGAUGAAAGAAGGGAAAUACUGUCCCUAUCCCAGGAAAUUAGAGACAGCUGGACUUCUGUGCGUACCAGAGUGAAUGAUCAAACAAGCCAUUACAAUACUGUACAUGUAGCUGUGAACAUAACUUUUUGGAGAACAUCAUACUAACUAGAAUUAUGCAGGGUGCUUUUUUAAUGACAUGAACAAAGCAGUUUUAAUACCAAUAAGGUUUCUGGGUCCACUGUGUUGAGCAAGCAACAUGGAACCGUGGAUCUAGCCUUGGCCCUUCCACGGACAGCCCAUGACACUCUGAGUAGGUCCAUCCUUUUAUUUCUUGGAUUCUCCUCCAGCAAAAUCAGAUAAUACUUCCUACUUGUCAAUAUACCCUGGAGAGCCCUUGAGAAGCUUAGCAGUGGGAUCCAAAAUCCCAAGGAUAUUCGUAUUUCUCAUGGAUGCCGCCUGGGGUGUCUGCCUAGCUCACAGGAUCCCCAAACUAGCCCCUGUGAUGCAGGAGGUUUGUCAUAGAAAAUGGUCAUUUCUGGACUGCAGGAGGCUAAGUGCUUGUCCACAGCUGAUCAGUACAGGCAUAGACACUUCAUUCAAACUGGGCUGACUAAAUUCUUCUCCCAGGACACCACAUGGAAAGACGGAAAGGCACACAAAGAUUGGAAACUGUCCAUCUAGAGAGUCGUAAGACUUUUUUUAAAACUCUCAGCUUGGGCUUCCCUGGUGGCGCA